UACGUAGGUGGCAAGCGUUGUCCGGAAUUAUUGGGCGUAAAGCGCGCGCAGGCGGUUCCUUAAGUCUGAUGUGAAAGCCCACGGCUCAACCGUGGAGGGUCAUUGGAAACUGGGGAACUUGAGUGCAGGAGAGAAGAGUGGAAUUCCACGUGUAGCGGUGAAAUGCGUAGAUAUCGGGAGGAACACCAGUGGCGAAGGCGACUACCUGGCCUGUUUCUUGACGCUGAGGCGCGAAAGCUAGGGGAGCAAACGGG
rnacentral:rRNA from 1 species